AAUCUAUUAAGAACCAGAGGCUGGUGGGUUUAAGAUCCUGGCUGCUCCCCGGAAAUGGGUGCAGCCCAGAGCGCAGGGAGAAGCUUUGUAGAAAACCGGGCUAGGCCCUGAGGGCUCCCUAGGACCACCACUCAGUGAAGCUCCACCUCACCGUGAACGUUCUUGGAUCUCCCGGGCAGAGAAACAUCCCUUUCCUGACCAGGAAACCCAGUCCUCUGAGACUCCACCCAGAAGGAGCCUUUGGCAGAAGGUGGCCUCUUCCAUGCCAGGAAGCCAAGUGAAGGACAAUAUUUGUUCUGCACCCACCAGUGCAAAGCCUCUGUUUUUAACUGCUUAGGCUUUCCAGCAGUGUCACCAGGAAUCUCAUUCUGCUAAAUGUCGGCACCCACAUCUUGUAAAGUGCAAGAAGGAGAAGAGAUUGAUGGCCGGGAGGUUCAUCACCAAAUACCCACUGAACAUCACGAGAGUCAAAGGGUUGCUGGAGGCUGGGUAGGCGAGGCCAAGCGGUGUGUGAAGAAUGGGAAGGAGACCUAGACUCAGUACAGGCAAUGAAUGCACUAGAAGAGAAGAGCAAACUCAGCAAAGACCUACCAAACCACGAAGUCUCUAGGUGCCCUCAAAAGGCCAGCCAAGGGCAUUAGCGGGAAAGACAGCCAUCCAGUGGAACUUCGGCUGAUAUCUCUUGGGCACUUGCAAGGCUCUUCAGCAUCAGAGAAAGUUCUGGGUAUAGCUAUCUUCUACACUGUGCCAACAUUGAAUAAUGUGAUUGAUCAACAGAAUAUGGCAACGGUGUUGGCAUCUCAUUACUGAGUUUAGGUGAGAGAAGGCUGAAGCCCCCUCCUCCACUACUUCGGAGAGAAGCCCUAUAUAGAGGUUCUUGGUGAGCAACAGCAGCCUCCUGCCCAUAGCCACAAGUGAACCUGGAAGCAAAUCUUACAGUCCCAUUUCAGUCUCCAGAGACCACAGCCCUGGCCACUGCUUUGAAUGCAGCUUCAUGAGAGACCUUGAGCCCCAGAACCACCCAGCUCAGCUACUCAAUGAUUCCUGAACCCCAGAAAUGAUAUAAGGUAAUUAAUGUUGUUCCAAGCUGUUAAUUUUGCCUUCCUCAUAGAAUCCCACAUGUUUCUUUCCCACGAGGAAGGCACUGGCCUCCCUCUUCUACCAAGGAGGACUCAGGAUCAGUGCAACAAAGAUGCUUGUGUGAAACAUCUCAGUUAAACC